AACGAACGCUGGCGGCAUGCCUAACACAUGCAAGUCGAACGAGACCUUCGGGUCUAGUGGCGCACGGGUGCGUAACGCGUGGGAACCUGCCCUUAGGUUCGGAAUAACUCCCCGACAGGGGUGCUAAUACCGGAUAAUGUCUUCGGACCAAAGAUUUAUCGCCUUUGGAUGGGCCCGCGUUGGUUUAGCUGGUUGGUAGGGUAAAAGCCUACCAAGGCGACGAUCCAUAGCUGGUCUGAGAGGAUGAUCAGCCACACUGGGUCUGAGACACGGCCCAGACUCCUACGGGAGGCAGCAGUGGGGAAUAUUGGACAAUGGGCGAAAGCCUGAUCCAGCAAUGCCGCGUGAGUGAUGAAGGCCUUAGGGUUGUAAAGCUCUUUUACCCGGGAUGAUAAUGACAGUACCGGGAGAAUAAGCUCCGGCUAACUCCGUG
rnacentral:rRNA from 1 species